UUCAUUGCGGAAGCUUUGCUUGUUGUCGUGUUAUUUUGAAAUCAACUGUUGUUUUUGAAAACAUGCCCUAAAGCUAUCCAAUUUCAACAAUUAAAAUAAGUAUUACCUAUCUUAGUAAUACAUAUUAAAACCAUCAAAAAUAAUUAAGUGGCCUUAUUACAUUUAAAAGCCCAAAAACUUCAAACGUAAAUAAAAGGAUGUCCAGUUCACCAGAAGAAAAUCAAACUUUCAGAACGGGUGGCCACUCCGAAUUCCCUCACAGCUCCAAGCCCACUAUGGUUGGGGAUUUCCUGCGUAGAUGAAAAUAAAAGGGUGAGUUUGGGGAAACUCAGUGUGUAAGGAAAACCCAUUCAAAGCCCAAGUCAGCUCAAGCCUAUUGGGCCUAAGCCCAUUCAGGUAACAGUGGUACUGGGCCAGAGCCCUUUUCAGAUUACAAUAAACUGGGCCUUAGCCCCUUAUUCAGAUAACAGUAUGGCCCAUAGGCCCAUUUCAAAAUACAUGCAACAUCAGUAAACAUAUGCAAGCCCAUUUGGGUAACAGUGGUACUGGGCCAGAGCCCUUUUCAGAUUACAAUAAACUGGGCCUUAGCCCCUUAUUCAGAUAACAGUAUGGCCCAUAGGCCCAUUUCAAAAUACAUGCAACAUCAGUAAACAUAUGCAAGCCCAUUUGGGGAGACUACUCAACCCACCAACCACUACACUCCACCCGUACCAGCCAUACACUCCAUGUGGGGAAUAGCUCAACCCACCCAGCCCAACACUCCACAGUUGCAGCCUUGCUGCUCAGUUAACAGUAAAUUGAGGUAAAGCCUCCAGUACGUGGACAAGCCACUUUCAGUACUUCCUUCGUCAAUAUCCCAAUCCCAUGCAUCAGAUGAUAACAACAUGGCAUGCAGUAAAUAACAACAGUCAAACAUGCAUUUAAGUCAAUUUAACCCUAGGGGUAUUUCGGUAAUUUAUCUCUUAGGGGUAAAACUGUAAAUUUUUCACUUUUAAAGGUAUUUCAGUAAUUUAUCUAUUUUAGGGUUUUUCAUGCAUAUUCCUACCUUUCACGUACUACAGAAUCAAAUACCGAGGGUUUUUACCGAAUUGGGCCCGUUGGCCCAUCAUUCCAAUUUUGGCCCAUUAAGCCCAAAAAUAUCGAGGGCACAGAAAUCAUGCACUUUGCAGUCCAAACAUUGUAGCUUACCAAAAACAUUAAUCGAUUUACCUCACGAGCAUUCGCACACUCGCAAAUCUACAAAAUACCGGUUUUCGGCAUUUCGGCUUUUCGGCUUUUGCCGAUCUAGACUAAGAAAGAGGGUGUUAGUUACACACCUGUUUGCGACGAUAUGCUACGAGAUCCAGACACGAACCGCCUACAAUUGGAUUACUAACACGUUAAUCUAACUAUUCAAAUACAAACUACGUAUUAACCCCUUACAAUAUUCGGCCAACCACACCUACAGAUCAUAGUAAGCUUAUAAGAAAUCAAUAAGCAACUCAUUAACAAAUUUUUGUCAAUGUUUACCACAUAAUCAUAAUUUCACUGCAAGAUGUCUUCCUGAGCAACAGUCACUAAAUUAUUUAUAACUGGAGCUAAGAAACUCCAAAUCAAGUUCCGUUAAUUUUCCCUGAAAAUAGACUCAUAUAUCUUCUAUCCAUAAAAUUUUCAGAAUUUUUAGUUUAGCCAAUCAAUACCAGAUUUUUCUCAAAGUUUCCCAUGUUUCACUGUUUGACUAAUCUGACCACUCUUCAUUACGAAUCAAAUUUCUCAUUGUACAGAAUUCAAAAUAUGUUCUUGUUUAUUUCAUUAGAAACUAGACUCAAUAAGCUUUAAUUACAUAAUUUAUUCAGCUUCUAAUUCAUCUCCCACAAUUUAUGGUGAUUUUCCAAAGUCACGUUACUGCUGCUGUCCCAAGCAGAUUUAUUACCAAAUCACUCUUUCACACAUACCUUGCAUGCAUGUUAUUUAAACAUGUAUAUCACCAAUCAAUCAUCACAUAUCUAUGAUUUUACUUAAGAAUAAUCUCCAUUUCAUCAUUUUAAAGCACAACAUGUUAGCUAAUUUUUCCCUUUAACAUCUAAGGCACAUGCAUGCUCAUUUGUUUGGCUCAACUUCACUUAUCUUCCAUUUUUUUUCAUCAAAAGAACAUGAAACAACAACCAUUUCCUUCAUUUUAAUUCAUGACUAAAUGCUCACAACACAACUAAAAACCAAAAUAUGCUUCAAGAGUUAAGGUAGAAUCAAGAAGAACUCAUGAACAUCAAGAUAGAAGCCAACUACCAUGAACUUACCUUCAAUUUUCUUUCCCAAGUGACCGAACACUCAAGAGCUUUCUCCUCUCCUUUCUCUUCUCUAACUUUCAGCUAUGAUGAACAAAGAUGGACAAAAAUUUGUUCUUUUCACCCCUUUUUCUUUUAAUAAAACUUCAUAUUUCAUCAAUUUAAUUCUUUAAUACAAAAGACAUGAAAUUCUUAUCAUGAAACAUUUACCUAACCCAUUAUCAUGAAACAUUU
rnacentral:lncRNA from 1 species